GAUGAAGAACGCAGUGAAAUGCGAUACUUGGUGUGAAUUGCAGAAUCCCGUGAACCAUCGAGUCUUUGAACGCAAGUUGCGCCCGAAGCCACUAGGCCGAGGGCACGCCUGCCUGGGCGUCACACGCCGUUGCCCCCCCAUCUACUCCUUCGGGAUUGCGGGGGGGCGGAUGAUGGCCUCCUGUGCGCCUAGCCGCGCGGUUGGCAUAAAUACCAAGUCCUCGGCGACGCACGCCACGACAAUCGGUGGUUGCGAAACCUCGGUUGCCCGUCGUGUGCGUUCGUCGCGCAUCGAGGGCUCGAAAAAAUGCUCGGCUCCGGCUGGGCUUUCAACGCGACCCCAGGUCAGGCGGGGUUACCCGCUGAAUUUAAGCAUAUCAAUAAGCGGAAGA
rnacentral:misc_RNA from 1 species